GCGCGAAACCUUUUCAAUGCGCGCAAGCGUGAGAAGGGAAUUCCAAGUGCUCAAGUUUUACUUGGGCUUUUGCCAAGUGCAAAAAGCUUGGCGAAUAAGGGGUGGGAAAGACUGGUGCCAGCCGCCGCGGUAACACCAGCGCCUCGAGUGGGGGUCGCGAUUAUUGGGUCUAAAGCGUCCGUAGCAGGCUUUGUAAAUGCUUUGUGAAAUCGGCAGGCUUAACCUGCCGGCAUGCAGAAUAGACUGCAGAGCUCGAGACCGGGAGAGGUUAGAAGUAUUCCUAGGGUACCGGUAAAAUGGGUUAAUCCUAGGAGGACUACCUAUGGCGAAGGCAUCUAACCAGAACGGUUCUGACUGUGAGGGACGAAAGCUAGGGGAGCAAAACGGAUUAGAUACCCAAGUAGUCCCUGAGCGGGCUGGCAAGGCGCAU
rnacentral:rRNA from 1 species